rnacentral:rRNA from 1 species
AGGACCUUGCGCUUUGGGAGCGGCCGAUGUCUGAUUAGCUAGUUGGUGAGGUAAUGGCUUACCAAGGCAACGAUCAGUAGUUGGUCUGAGAGGACGACCAGCCACACUGGGACUGAGACACGGCCCAGACUCCUACGGGAGGCAGCAGUGGGGAAUUUUGGACAAUGGGCGCAAGCCUGAUCCAGCAAUGCCGCGUGAGUGAAGAAGGCCUUCGGGUUGUAAAGCUCUUUCAGUUGAGAAGAAAGAAUUCUGGUUAAUACCUGGAAUUUAUGACGGUAUCGACAGAAGAAGCACCGGCUAACUACGUGCCAGCAGCCGCGGUAAUACGUAGGGUGCGGGCGUUAAUCGGAAUUACUGGGCGUAAAGCGUGCGCAGGCGGCUUCCUAAGUCAGAUGUGAAAUCCCCGGGCUUAACCUGGGAACU